rnacentral:rRNA from 2 species
UGCAGUCGAGCGAUGGAUUGAGAGCUUGCUCUCAAGAAGUUAGCGGCGGACGGGUGAGUAACACGUGGGUAACCUGCCCAUAAGACUGGGAUAACUCCGGGAAACCGGGGCUAAUACCGGAUAAUAUUUUGAACUGCAUGGUUCGAAAUUGAAAGGCGGCUUCGGCUGUCACUUAUGGAUGGACCCGCGUCGCAUUAGCUAGUUGGUGAGGUAACGGCUCACCAAGGCAACGAUGCGUAGCCGACCUGAGAGGGUGAUCGGCCACACUGGGACUGAGACACGGCCCAGACUCCUACGGGAGGCAGCAGUAGGGAAUCUUCCGCAAUGGACGAAAGUCUGACGGAGCAACGCCGCGUGAGUGAUGAAGGCUUUCGGGUCGUAAAACUCUGUUGUUAGGGAAGAACAAGUGCUAGUUGAAUAAGCUGGCACCUUGACGGUACCUAACCAGAAAGCCACGGCUAACUACGUGCCAGCAGCCGCGGUAAUACGUAGGUGGCAAGCGUUAUCCGGAAUUAUUGGGCGUAAAGCGCGCGCAGGUGGUUUCUUAAGUCUGAUGUGAAAGCCCACGGCUCAACCGUGGAGGGUCAUUGGAAACUGGGAGACUUGAGUGCAGAAGAGGAAAGUGGAAUUCCAUGUGUAGCGGUGAAAUGCGUAGAGAUAUGGAGGAACACCAGUGGCGAAGGCGACUUUCUGGUCUGUAACUGACACUGAGGC